rnacentral:rRNA from 1 species
UCAUAUGCUUGUCUUAAAGAUUAAGCCAUGCAUGUCUAAGUAUAAGCUUUUAUACGGCUAAACUGCGAAUGGCUCAUUAAAACAGUUAUAGUUUAUUUGAUGGUCUUUACUACAUGGAUAACCGUGGUAAUUCUAUGGCUAAUACAUGCGCACAUGCCUCUUCCCCUGGAAGGGCAGUGUUUAUUAGAUACAGAACCAACCCACCUUCCGGUGGUCCUCAGGUGAUUCAUAGUAACCGAACGGAUCGCGUUGACUUCGGUCUGCGACGGAUCAUUCAAGUUUCUGACCUAUCAGCUUUCGACGGUACUGUAUUGGACUACCGUGGCAGUGACGGGUAACGGGGAAUUAGGGUUCGAUUCCGGAGAGGGAGCCUGAGAAACGGCUACCACAUCUAAGGAAGGCAGCAGGCGCGCAAAUUACCCAAUCCUGAUUCAGGGAGGUAGUGACAAGAAAUAACAACACUGGAAAUUUCAUUUCUAGUGAUUGGAAUGAUAGGAAUCCAAACCCCUUUCAGAGUAACAAUUGGAGGGCAAGUCUGGUGCCAGCAGCCGCGGUAAUUCCAGCUCCAAUAGCGUAUAUUAAAGUUGUUGCAGUUAAAAAGCUCGUAGUUGGAUUUCUGCUGGAAGCAGCCAGUCCGCCCUCAGGGGUGUGCACUUGGUGAAUUCUAGCAUCCUUCUGGAUUUCUCCACACUUCAUUGUGUGGAGUUUUUUCCAGGACUUUUACUUUGAGAAAAUUAGAGUGUUUCAAGCAGGCUUGUCGCCUUGAAUACUGCAGCAUGGAAUAAUAAGAUAGGAUUUCGGCCCUAUUUUGUUGGUUUCUAGGACUGAAGUAAUGAUUAAUAGGGACGGUUGGGGGCAUUCGUAUUUAACUGUCAGAGGUGAAAUUCUUAGAUUUGUUAAAGACGAACUACUGCGAAAGCAUUUGCCAAAGAUGUUUUCAUUAAUCAAGAACGAAAGUUAGGGGCUCGAAGACGAUCAGAUACCGUCGUAGUCUUAACCAUAAACUAUGCCGACUAGAGAUAGGAAAACGUCAUGCUUGACUUCUCCUGCACCUUAUGAGAAAUCAAAGUCUUUGGGUUCU